GGUAAUCCACAUUCUACGAUCUUUUUCUUUCCUUUCCUUUGCAGAGAAUCAACACUUUCCUUUGAUAGAAUAUUCCUUUGCACACCUUGUUGACCAGUAGACAUGUUAUGUGAUUCCCCUUCUUGCCCAAUUAGGGCCUUAAAUCUUGAGCCGGAUUUUCUAGACGUUGAUGGCGAUUCUGUAGGACUUUCCUUCUUUUGAUUUCUGCGAGGUCUAUGUUGGGCAUGGAUCCAGGGACCAUAUUGACCCGACCAGUCAGUUGCAAGCGAGACCUCCAAUGUCUCUCCAUGGCGGUUAGCCAUAUUUUCCUCCAUACUCCUUUUGUUAGGGCACAUGACUUGACUAUGUCCAACAAUUCCACAUUCAAAACACACUUGAGGUUCGUAUUCAACUUUUUGCAUGAAUCAUUCAGACUGGUGAGCAAAGGUUUCUUCAAGUUCGACUGCGACACGCGCAAACUGCUCUCUAUUUGCUAGUUGAGUAUUCAUAUCAACUGUAAUUGUUUUCCUAACAACGUUGCCAAUUGUCUCUAAAAUUUGCUCAUACUAGUACUGCAUUGACAUCUUUGGAAGUCUGACCCAAGACAUCAUUGAGGAAACCACUGCAUUGGUUGCCCAAAAUUUCAGAAUCCAUUCUUGUACAGUUAAGUAAUGGCCAAGAAUAGUCCAAGGACCAUCCAAAAUUAUGUGUUCCAAAUCCUCCUUAAGGGCUAGUUUAAUCAAGAAAAAUCCAUUGUCAAGAUCAAUAACUUUGUAAUGACCUCGCAGCUUCCAGAUAGUCAUGAUUCCAUUGCAUAAAUUUUAUAACCCAAAGGUCUACCCCAUAAUUUAACUACAAUGAAGUUCUCCCGUUGCGAAACUCAUUUGAUAACAUGAUACUAGGACCAGAAGGCUCCAAAUGGACUAUAAUAUCACCUUAAAUUCAAUAUAAAAAAUUAUAUCAAAAUACAUCUCAUCCGGGUUCACUAGAAGGCUUUCUUUAUAAGUCUUCAGGGCAUUAUCCUCCAUAUCCAUAUCUUGCUGAUGCUCAAUGUUUUGAUCUGAAUCCAUACAUGAAUUCUCCAUAUUGAUAUUACUGUGAAACUUGACUUUCAUAGUAGGGCGGUCUUCGUUAGACAGGAGAGGAAGGUUUUCCUCAAGAGAAUUUUCCAUCCCACUUUUACUAGUUUUUUUUUCUUUCUCUAUUACUUUCCUCUACUCUUUUUCCUUCCCAUUCCCCUGUAAUUUCUAAAUCCUAAUCAAUGCUCAUUGCACAAACACGUCUUAUCAAUUAUAGUACGAGGUAAUUACUAUAUAAGAUUUUUUUUUUCUUUUAUAUAACUUAUAGACAAUACCAAUUAUAUAGUAACAUAUAAUACUAAUUAUGUAGUGAUAUAUGAUACCAACUAUAUAGUGAUAUGUGAUAUUAUCUACCGAUAACAUGGUAUUAUAUGUUUUUUUAUAUUUUUUAUAUUGGCGUUAUUUAUCUCUUAAUAUUUUAAAUUUAUAUUUUUUUAUCUUUCUAUAUUUUAAUUUUAUAUUAAAAAAAUUUAUUUUAUAAUUUUAUAUUAAAUAGUAAUUCCACUCUAAAUUUCAUAAAACAAUGUUAACUAGGUGGUUUUAUAUUAUUUCUUAUCUAAAUUACUUCUUAAAUUUUGUUUAUUAUACUAAAUAUUUUAUAUUUUUAAAGUCAAUAUAAUUAUAAAAUUAAAAUAAUAGAAAAAGGAUAAGUUGGUCCUUGAACUUUCUUAUUAAAGUUAUAAUUAAUUUACAAAAUAAAUAAUAAGAAAAAUGUUUAUUUUAUUUUAAUAAUUUAAAGUCAAAUUAUAUAAAUUUUUAUAUUUUACUAAAUAAAAAUACUUUUAAAAUAUUUAAACUUUAUUAAAAUUAAAUUAUGCUAAGAAUUAAAAUAAGUAAAAAAUAUUAAUUAAUUAUUUUUAUAUAAAUGCUAAAGUUAGAUAUUGUAAAAAUACAUAUUUAUUUUGAUUGAUAUAAAUAAUUUUAUACGAGUCUGAUAGUUAAAUAUAACAAAUUACAUUGUGACAAAUGAGAACCGGCAAAAUUCGGUAUUAACGUGCUAAUAAAUUCUAUAAAAAAUAGAUGGGUUAAUCUAAGGGCUCAUGAGUUUCUGUAUUUUCAUUACCAUUUUCUUCAAUUCUGUUGAUGCUUCUACAUAUAUGAACUGGGUCCAUCUUCAAUUGUUUUUGGUUAUUCAAUUCUGUUAGUUGAUGCAAGCAAAAAAAAACUCAGCUCCCACAGGCUGAAAACUCUCUUCUUUUUCUUCGCUUGUAAUAGCAUUUGAAUUUGCUUUCCACGUUAAGAGGGAAGCACUCCAGAUUGACUUCACCUGGAUCACUUCCUGGGUUCAUCACAGGAUUAAUAAGCCCUUCACCACUGGCACUAUACUAUUGCUAGUGCUAUUGCUUGCAGAAAUCCUGGUGGAAAAAGAAAUGGUC
rnacentral:lncRNA from 1 species